rnacentral:rRNA from 1 species
AUUGAGCGCUGGCGGCAGGCCUAACACAUGCAAGUCGAGCGCGAAAAUUCCUUCGGGGAUGAGUAGAGCGGCGGACGGGUGAGUAACGCGUAGGAAUCUGCCCGGUAGUGGGGGACAACAGUCGGAAACGACUGCUAAUACCGCAUACGCCCUAAGGGGGAAAGCAGGGGAUCUUCGGACCUUGCGCUAUCGGAUGAGCCUGCGUCGGAUUAGCUUGUUGGUGGGGUAAUGGCCUACCAAGGCGACGAUCCGUAGCUGGUCUGAGAGGAUGAUCAGCCACACUGGGACUGAGACACGGCCCAGACUCCUACGGGAGGCAGCAGUGGGGAAUAUUGGACAAUGGGGGAAACCCUGAUCCAGCCAUGCCGCGUGUGUGAAGAAGGCCUGGUU